ACUUGCUUUCUUUGCUGGCGACCGGCGCACGGGUGAGUAACACGUAUCCAACCUGCCCUUUACUCGGGGAUAGCCUUUCGAAAGAAAGAUUAAUACCCGAUAGCAUAAUGAUUCCGCAUGGUUUCAUUAUUAAAGGAUUCCGGUAAAGGAUGGGGAUGCGUUCCAUUAGGUUGUUGGUGGGGUAACGGCCCACCAAGCCUUCGAUGGAUAGGGGUUCUGAGAGGAAGGUCCCCCACAUUGGAACUGAAACACGGUCCAA
rnacentral:rRNA from 1 species